rnacentral:rRNA from 1 species
AACCCAAGGUUUCCUGAUCAAUGUUAAUCAGAUCAGGGUUAGUCGGGUCCUUAGGCACACCCGAAAGGGGAAGCUGAUGGCAAGUCGUUUAAUAUUACGACACCUGCUUAUACUUCGAUGGAGUGACGGGGUAGUGAAAGGUCCGCGUUCUUACGGAAUAGAACGUUAAAGGGUGUAGAUAUUGGUUGUGCAGGCAAAUCCGCACGAUUAGUCGAACCUGAUAGUACUGCGAAGCUUCGGCUAAGUAGAUAGUGACCCUAAUCAUACCUCCGAGAAAACCUUCUAAGUUAUGGUAUAAGCAGCCCGUACCGCAAACCGACACAGGUGGGUGGGAUGAAUAUUCUAAGGCGCUCGGGUGAGCCGUGGAGAAGGAACUAGGCAAAUUAACGCUGUAACUUCGGGAUAAAGCGUACCAUCUUCGGAUGGUCUCAGUAAAAUGGUACAACCAACUGUUUAGCAAAAACACAGGGCCCUGCAAAAUCGAAAGAUGACGUAUAGAGCCUGAUACCUGCCCGGUGCUGGAAGGUUAAGGAAGGAUGUUCGACGCAAGUCAAAGCUUCUGACUGAAGCCCCAGUAAACGGCGGCCGUAACUAUAACGGUCCUAAGGUAGCGAAAUUCCUUGUCGGGUAAGUUCCGACCUGCACGAAUGGUCUAAUGAGUUGUACACUGUCUCCUCCACGAGCCCGGUGAAAUUGUAGUAUCGGUGAAGAUGCCGGUUACCCGUCACGGGACGGAAAGACCCCAUGAACCUUCACUACAACUUUGCAUUGAUUUUGAAUUUUUGAUGUGUAGGAUAGUUGGGAGACUUUGAAGUAGUGUCGCCAGGCAUUAUGGAGUCGUCGUUGAAAUACCAACCUUUAAACAUUUAGGAUCUAAUCCCUCACGGGAAACAGUGCAUGGUGGGUAGUUUGACUGGGGUGGUCGCCUCCUAAAAUGUAACGGAGGCUUGCAAAGGUUCCCUCAGUACGGUUGGUAAUCGUACAUAGAGCGCAUUAGUAUAAGGGAGCUUGACUGUGAGGCCUACAAGCCGAUCAGGUACGAAAGUAGGCUAAAGUGAUCCGGUGGUUCUGUAUGGAAGGGCCAUCGCUCAAAGGAUAAAAGGUACUCUGGGGAUAACAGGCUGAUCUUACCCAAGAGCUCAUAUCGACGGUAAGGUUUGGCACCUCGAUGUCGGUUCGUCACAUCCUGGGGCUGGAGAAGGUCCCAAGGGUUCGGCUGUUCGCCGAUUAAAGUGGCACGUGAACUGGGUUCAGAACGUCGCAAGACAGUUCGGUCCCUAUCUGUGAUGGGCGCAAGUAAAUUGAGAGGACAUGACCUUAGUACGAGAGGACCGGGUCGUAUGUACCGCUGGUGUAUCUGUUGUGCCGCCAGGUGCAAUGCAGAGUAGCUACGUACAGCAAGGAUAAACGCUGAAAGCAUCUAAGCGUGAAACCUUCCUCAAGAUGAGUUUACUUUUAAGGGCUGUGGGAGACUACCACGUUGAUAGGCUACAGGUAUAAGGGUGGUAACAUCGGAGCCGAGUAGUACUAAUCGCCCGUAAGCUUUAUUU